rnacentral:tRNA from 1 species
AGAUUCAUAACUCAGCUGGUAGAGUGACUGCCUUACAAGCAGUAAGUCGUCGGUUCAAGUCCGACUGAAUUUA